UGCUCUGCUUGCACUGUGCCCAGAGACCCUCCCAGCCUGCUGGCUCCUCCCACACACAUCGCUUACUCCUCUUGGCCUGCCUGCUGGCCAGCCAAGGACUCCUCUCCACCCCCUGGCCGGACCUCAGUGCACCUCCGCCUCUAGGCAGUCUGCUUCCCACCACCUGUGGGGCCCUGCCUGUCUCUCCAGAGCUGAGCCACCUGGGACUGGUGCAGAAGCCUGGCCAGUCUUGGCAGUCAGGGGCGGGGGGCUGGGCCCCUCCAGGCAAGUGGGUCCUGAGGGAGGCCAGCUAGGGCAGGUCCAGGUCUGGCUGAUUGUGCCACUCGCUAGGGGCCAGAGCAAUUCCCCAUCCCGGAACCAGCCAUGGCUACGAUGCCGGCUCAGCCCGGCAGACACCAUCGCCUCCCAGCAAGACCAAUAUAAGUCUUUGAACAAUGCCACUCAGAUGAGAGAGAAAAUAUCUGAAAAAUUUCCUGGCCAUUGGCCUGAGAUGUGUCAUCCAGUUUCAGGUCCCUAUACCUCUGGGACACGACAUCCGAUAACUGGAAAGUUCACAAGCCCCUUGGCACUUUCUAAAAUGACCUGUGAGUACCUCCCCCCCGCAGCUCCCAUUGGCUGGGAACGGGGAACCGCAGGGACAUGGUGCUGGCUGCUUCCGGGAGCGGUGCGGGGCCAGGGCAGGCAGGCAGAC